UACGUAGGCAGCGAGCGUUGUUCGGAAUUACUGGGCGUAAAGAGUGUGUAGGCGGUGCUCUAAGUUCGGUGUGAAAUCUCCUGGCUCAACUGGGAGGGUGCGCCGGAAACUGGAGUGCUUGAGCGUGGGAGAGGAAAGCGGAAUUCCUGGUGUAGCGGUGAAAUGCGUAGAUAUCAGGAGGAACACCGGUGGCGAAGGCGGGACUCUGGGCCGAUACUGACGCUGAGGAGCGAAAGCGUGGGGAGCAAACAGG
rnacentral:rRNA from 1 species